rnacentral:rRNA from 1 species
CCUACGGGAGGCUGCAGUGGGGAAUAUUGGGCAAUGGGCGCAAGCCUGACCCAGCAACGCCGCGUGAAGGAAGAAGGCUUUCGGGUUGUAAACUUCUUUUAAGAGGGAAGAGCAGAAGACGGUACCUCUUGAAUAAGCCACUGCUAACUACGUGCCAGCAGCCGCGGUAAUACGUAGGGGGCAAGCGGUGUCCGGAUUUGCUGGGUGUAACGGGCGUGCAGCGGGGAAGACAAGUCAGAUGUGAAAUCCCGCGGCUCAACCGCGGAACUGCGUUUGAACCUGUUUUUCUUGAGUACCGGAGAGGUCAGCGGAAUGCCUGGUGUAGCGGUGAAAUGCGUAGAUAUAAGGAAGAACACCAGUGGCGAAGGCGGAUGACUGGACGGCAACUGACGGUGAGGCGCGAAAGCGUGGGGAGCAAACAGGAUUAGAUACCCUUGUAGUC